rnacentral:rRNA from 1 species
CUUGGUCAUUUAGAGGAAGUAAAAGUCGUAACAAGGUCUCCGUUGGUGAACCAGCGGAGGGAUCAUUACAGAGUUGCAAAACUCCCAACCCUUUGUGAACGAACCUACCAGUUGCCUCGGCGGCGAGCCUUUCAGGCGGACCGCCGAAGGAAUACAAACUCUUUGCAUUAUAGUAUCUCUGAUUACUUAUUCAAUAAGUUAAAACUUUCAACAACGGAUCUCUUGGUUCUGGCAUCGAUGAAGAACGCAGCGAAAUGCGAUAAGUAAUGUGAAUUGCAGAAUUCAGUGAAUCAUCGAAUCUUUGAACGCACAUUGCGCCCGCUAGUAUUCUGGCGGGCAUGCCUGUUCGAGCGUCAUUUCAACCAUCAAGCCCUAGGCUUGUGUUGGAGCCCUGCGGCUGCCGCAGCCUCCUAAAAACAGUGGCGGGCUCGCUAUUACACCGAGUGCAGUAGUUUACUCUUCGCUCAGGGCGUGUGGCGGGUGCUGGCCGUGAAACCCCCUACUUCUUAAGGUUGACCUCGGAUCAGGUAGGAAUACCCGCUGAACUUAAGCAUAUCAAUAAGCGGAGGA